rnacentral:lncRNA from 1 species
AGCAAGUUUCAAGCACUAGCCAAAUAUGAAUAUUACAUAUGAUCUCAAGUCUACAGAAAUUUAGAGAAUGAAGGGGAGUAGCAGCAAUUUAUGGUUCAAAUUAGGAGCAGAGCAGGGGGGCCAAGGAAGAAGCAGCAGCUAGAAGCUUCGAGUUCAGAGAAGGAGGAAAGUGGAGGAAGUGGAAGAGAUGGAGCAGCAGCGUGGGGUUGAGAGGAAGAGCAGCAGCAUUAGCGUCAGGGGAAGCAGAGGAGGAGGAGCAGAGAGAUGAACAGCGGCAGGGGCGUGGGAGAAGCAGCGAGGCAAGGGAAGGAGGAAGAAGAGAAGCAGCGAGGCAAGGAGAAUCACACGGGGCACCAGACGCCUCGUCUGGUCGGGCGCGCGAGCGUGGGGUGAAGGCGCGGUGGAGGCGCUGGUGGUGCUGAAGGUACUAGGCGGCGCGGGGAGAUGGCGGCGCAGGUGGUUGGCUGGUCGUGCACGCGAGCUGGUGGUGGUGGCGCUACUGGUGGAGUGGAUAUGGUGGUGUGGUGCUGGAGGUGAGUAUGCUCGUGGAUGGAUGGGUGGCAGAGGCGCACCACCACACCGGCCUGGACGUGGCGGCGGCCGGAGGUGGAGAAGGAGGUGCGAGGGAGAGAGAUGAGUAGCCAGGCCCGAUCGAAUCCCUCCAGCGCCUAGGGAUUUUGUUCCCCUCCUUUCAUCUGAACUUUGUGAUUUGGCCCUCUUUCUUCUCUUCUUUCUUCACAAGAAGGUCCUCCCACUUCUUUAUCUAGCCCCCUGGUUACUUCUCUUCAUCUCACACAAGUCUCUUCUUCCUUCUCUUCUCUUCUUCACUCUCCUCGAUAGCCACAUAGACGGAAUCUUGACGAUUAUUAGUGCCUUUGCGCACAUUUCUGCAAGAUAGACCAAAGACUAGCAAAUGAUCCUUUUUGAUGAUUAUCAAGCAAUAUUCAAUCAAUCAUGGCAAGAAUGGACGAAUAUGUCAUGAUAGAUGCUAUAUUUGAGUACCAAAAUUAUAUAUGUGAAAUAUACUUAUCAAGUUCCCCCACACUUAAACUUUUGCUUGUCCUCAAGCAAAGGAAUAUGACAAGAGCUAGAUAAUGAACAGUGAGCUGACUGGAGAAUGUCCCAGUGAAGUAGAUCUCCAAACAAAGCAUGCUUUGGACUUAACUAGUGAAAAUCAAUGGUUAAGAGUGCUACAGAGCAAUAGAGUACUAGUAAGCAUGACCAUUUUAAACUUUUACAAUGAUAAAUGAGGAUCAACAAGUUUAAAUGAUGACUGUGCCAAAUGGUUCCUAAAAAGAGCAUGAUCCCAAGAACAAAUGAACUAGAAUUAAAUCUUGUGAUCAAAUCACUUAUUUACAGAGAUAAAAUAAUGAUUAUAUUAUUAUUAGUCUCACCAUAGGAACAUACCACCGAUCCCAAGAACAUGGUAUACACCUGGCUCGACCAAUUAUUAGUUUUUUUGUCUCCCCAAAGGAACAUACCACCGAUCCCGAGAACAUGGUAUACACCUGGUUUGACAAUUACAUAUUUAUUUAUUUAUUACUGUCCAAGCUACCAGAUUUCACAUGCCACCGAUCCAGGGAACAUGACAUGCUACUGUAGGUAGACCAGACUUAUUUAUUCAAUAUUACUUAUCUUAAAUGAACAACGCAUAAGCACAAAAACAGGAAUCAUCACUUUUCCAUGUCUGGUUCACAUGCUACCGAUCCAGGGAACAUAGCAUGCUAAUCCAUAGUGGUUAGGUGAUUGCUCUCAAUGGGAACACACUUAGCACAAAUUCAGCAUCUAAACAUGGUGAUCUAGGUGUAUCAAGGUAAAAGCAGAAAAUGAUCAAGUUUUCUAGUGUACUAGGGAUUUGAGCACUCAAAACUAAUAACUUCCACAAAUUUCAGCAAAGCAUGCAUGGUGUAGAUCACUAGUUUACAAGGCAUUCAGAAAUCAAGUUCACAAAUUCACAUCAAGCACAAUGCCAAAGGUGAAUUUCAGCUUGAUAACAAGUAAUAACUAGCUCAAGCAACCCAACUAGCAAUUGAAUUUAGCAUGUAUUUAUGACAUUCAGAAUGGGUCAUGAAACAUCUCACCGGGCUUUGAUCAUGUAGCACUCGCUCGAUCACCUCACCAACUGCAGCUCCUGUCCUUUUGAUUCUCUAUCCUCAUGCCUGCUCCAGCUUCUCCCUUCCUCGUGUGUGCCCCCUUGCUUCUCCUCAUCCCCAUGCUCUGAGCCCACCAGGGUCCCAAGGAAUGUCACCUUGAACCUGGUCAACAUGUAAUGGAUCGUGCACAAGCAAAAACCUGAAAGAGCAUUCAACGAAAGAGACAAUACAAGUGGUAGGGAUAAUACCCUCCAAGUCAUCAAUCGAAUAUCCAAUUACAUAAGCAUAGCUAUAAAGCACAUGUUUAGGAUGGUAGAAAUCAGCAAGGUCGACACUAACAUGAGAAUGAAAUUUAUCAUUAAGCUCAAGACUAGCAUGGGAAUAAUAUGUUUUAUUAAGCAUAGGACUAGCAUAAGGAAAAUAAGUGUCAUCAUCAGGAAUGAGAGCAAUGCCACCAACAAUGUAUGUAUGAUCAUGUCCAAGCAAAUAAUUUUUCAAGUCUAGCUUAAUUGAUGGUAUAACACAAUGGAAAGUAGCAGCAAAGAUCUCAUAAGGAAGCAUGUCAUCAAGAGGAUUGGAUAAACCUGCUAAAUCACGCUCCUGUAUGAUGAUGGGCAAAUGCGUUUCUGGUUCUUAAUCUUCAAUCACAUCAACUUCUUUUGCUUCUUCAAGAUUAAUAGAUGAUGAGUCUUCAACUUGAUCACUUUGUUGUUUGAGCUCUGGAUCAUCUUGUGCCUUGGCUUUGAGAAUUUCUUCUUGGAUCUGAAGUAUUUCUUCCUCUGGACUCUCGCUAUCUUGCUCAGCUGAAUGUGAAGGUGUUGGAACCUCACAUGUAUCAAUGGAUAUCUCAGCCACACUCAACUCAAACUGUGAUGAUAUAGUACUGCCAGCGUUGAUGUUCUUCUCAAUCUUCCUUGCUUCUUCCACUAGCUCCUUUCCACUCUUAAUCUUCUUCAUUUCCUCUAGUAUCACCGGCCUAAUUGGAUCAUCUUCGGCACUCCAAGUGAACUCGAGACCAAGCAAUGUGAGCUUGUCUAUAUCAUCAAAGUCAUCUUGUGUGGGCACUUGUGUUGAAGAUGUUGGUUGACCAAAUGGAGGACCAUUUAACUCCAUUGGACACAUCUCCUGGUGUAGAGGUAUAUGAAUAGGAGCUGAAUAAGACUGUUGUGGAGCAUAGUUGUGGUUCUUCUCAUUGUACCUGAAUCCCUGCAAUGGAUAACUAGAGGCAAACGAUGAGAUCUCAGGGUUGUUGCUCCUAUAUGACAUAUUCAGGCUUUCAGGCCACCCAUGUGAGUAAUUGUUUUGGUAUGAGCUAUGCUGUUGAGCGAAGCUCAUGCCAAAACAAUCCGGAGGAUGGGAGUAACCACGCUGACAUACAGCGGGCAAAUGGCCCUGAAAUCCACAAAUAUGGCAGGUAGGAGCAACACAAGGAUGGCCUCUAGAAUAAGGAUCAUAAGAGCUAGGCCUAUCCUCAAAAACUACUUCUCGCUGCCGAGCUAAAUCAUCUAAUUGAUGGGAAAUCUUACUUAUCAGUUCUUGAAUACUUUCCGUGCUGUUUGUAGUGUUGCUUGCAUAAGCCUGAUGAUCUGAAUAGUAAGCCAUAACCGAGAGGAUAAUCCAACCUGCAAAAAAGGAAAAGAAAACAAAAAGAUACUAACUAAAACAGGGGUUAGUGGCUAGAGAUAUAUCACAAAUAUAUGGCACAAACUAGAAAAAGAAGAAAAACCUAGUCUAUAGCCUAACACAAUCGCUCGACACUAGUCCCCGGCAACGGCGCCAAAAUGAUCGAUAGUAGGUACAGUGGGGUUUUUAUACCCAAACUACGAGUGUCGUGUUCUCCUCAGGGACUAGGCGACGGCAACUAUACUCGGCUAAAGCUAGGUAAUAGAAUUUAGAUGAUGAUUGCAUAGAAAUAUAGACCUAAACUAACCAAAGUUGACGAUAAAGAAAAUAACACAGUAGCAAGGAAGGUUCAAAUUAUCUUCAACAAUCUUUUUGGUAUUUUCGUAAUGCUUGAGAAAUUAAGAUACUAACAAAAGCUAUCAUCAAUGACAAGAGAAGUAAAAGGACAUGAACAUAACACACACAUAUAUAUCACAGGUUCAUAGCUAGCACAAGGUACAAGAUAUAUCACCGGGACUACAAAAUGAACACCGGUUACAAACAGGAUUAUAAAGCACAUGUACUGGACUCACAUCACACUAGCCAAAUCUCCUUGACAUAAAUCAGUGCAACAAUAACUAGAAGACUAAACUAUCAAACAUGAUAUAUAUCACAGGAACUUGAGCAACAGUCUACAGUAAACUGGACACUAAUCAGUAGCAAGUGCAGUACAUAAUUAAUAUAUUUCACACACACACACACACAAAUGCGAAUAUGGUAUUACAGGGCACUGUUCUAAUACUCUCGGAUGAACAAAAAUAGUACUACAGUACUAAACAAUCACUAGUCUGAAACUGAACAUGUCAUAGCAUUAUUAUACAGUUACAAAUCUGAACCAAUAGCAAGUUUCAAGCACUAGCCAAAUAUGAAUAUUACAUAUGAUCUCAAGUCUACAGAAAUUUAGAGAAUGAAGGGGAGUAGCAGCAAUUUAUGGUUCAGAUUAGGAGCAGAGCAGGGGGCCAAGGAAGAAGCAGCUGCUAGAAGCUUCGAGUUCAGAGAAGGAGGGAAGUAGAGGAAGUGGAAGAGAUGGAGCAGCAGCGUGGGGUUGAGAAGAAGAGCAGCAGCAGCAGCGUUAGGGGAAGCAGAGGAGGAGGAGCAGAGAGAUGAACAGCGGCAGGGGCGUGGGAGAGGCAGCGAGGCAAGGGAAGGAGGAAGAAGAGAAGCAGCGAGGCAAGGAGAAUCGCGCGGGGUACCAGACGCCUCGUCUGGUCGGGCGCGCGAGCGUGGGGUGAAGGCGCGGUGGAGGCGCUGGUGGUGCUGAAGGUACUAGGCGGCGCAGGGAGAUGGCGGCGGAGGUGGUUGGCUGGUCGUGCGCGCGAGCUGGUGGUGGUGGCGCUACUUGUGGAGUGGAUAUGGUGGUGUGGUGCUAGAGGUGAGUAUGCUCGUGGAUGGAUGGGUGGCAGAGGCGCACCACUACGCCGGCCUGGCUGUGGCGGCGGCCGGAGGUGGAGAAGGAGGUGCGAGGGAGAGAGAUGAGUAGCCAGGCCCGAUCGGAUCCCUCCA